CAGCUCCGCCCUCCUUCCCGAAUUGCGUGGCCAACAUGCAAGAUGCAUAUAGUUGACGUGUCACGUACCUUUUUCCUCUUGCAGCAGAUAUUUUUAGAUCUAGUGUGACUGUGGAAGUGACUAGUGUGCUGUAAUAAUUGUGCACAACUCGCAAUUAUUGUGUAUAUAGUGCAAGGCUUUGUUUUGCCUCUCCACGUAAGGCUUUUGUGGAGACAUGGUUGUAAUGGGUUGUAUAGUGUUCCUCAUUACGAACACAUAUUCAUGGGUUUCUUGAUGCCUUUGUGAAGACUGUGGCAGGCACCAACAUGGUCCGUAGAGACAGAGCUAUGACCAAGUCUGCGUGCCUGUGUGGUCCGAAAGUUGAUGGCAGUUUUUUUAAGUACUCCCACGGGUUUAGCUUAUAAAAAUGUCAUAGAUUGUGGGACGGAGUGAAUACUGAGUUUAUAAUGGUCUACUUAAGAAUUCAUAGUUUUUUAUCCCCUCAUCCUAUCAUGUUUUGUUACAUGGCUAGCUCCAUCAAUGAUGGGCGCGUCUUUUUCUUCUUCUUGUUUUCGUUGCCCCACUGGUUUCAGUUUAAGAUGAAAAUGAGCCGACCUGGACCUGGCC
rnacentral:lncRNA from 1 species